AUGGACCAAUCCAUCCCUUUUUCCCGUGCAUAUGCAUCGGACUCGGAUGACGAUGGUCCUGAUGAAGAAGUUGAUGAGGAGGGGACGCCGAAGGACGCCCAAGCAUUCAAGAAGGUAUUCGGGCGGGAUCACAAGACACCAUUGUUCAAGGAUCUUAGUCUUGCGGAUGAAGCCGUUGUGGAUGGUGGCAAAUGUAUAUCUCUUGGAGCUAGGCCAAGUUCUCACCAUGAUUUGGAAGAUGGCAAGAACGGGAUAUUUCCCGGUUGUGAGUUUGAUUCUUUCUUGGAAUUGAAGAUGUGGCUCGACAACUACUCGGUUACGCAUUAUCGUCCACAUAGAGUGGCCAACUCGGACGUCAAUGUGCGUUACAUGGUUAAAUGUGAAGUGCCAAGAUGUCCAUGGAUUGUGCAUGCAAGGCCAUGGAAAGGAGGUCCCACUUGGCGCAUAGUGAGUUGUCUACCAAAUCACAUGUGCCGGCACAAGAAUGCGGAUGGCGAGCUUGUGUACCAACAACAUAGACAACUCACAUCCGAGUUCAUCGCUUACAGGCUUUCCAACCAAAUAUCCACACUUCCAACAAUGAGCAUUAAGAGUGUCAUUGACAUUGUGAAAGCCAUCUUUCAUUACAAGAUCAAGUACAGCAAGGCAUGGAAGGCGAAGCAAGCCGCAUUCAAGAUGUUAUAUGGCAAUUGGGAGGAAGCAUACAACUGA
rnacentral:rRNA from 1 species